UAGAAUCAAAUUCAAAGUCAAAGUCGAGUUCAGUCAUAGCAGUUGAAUUUGCAUACAUCCUGUCUGAGACAACUGAAGAGACCAUCGCUCUCAGGCAUGGAAUGAAGCAGAUCAGAAAAAGGAAGAAAAGGGAGAAUAUACCAAUUAUCAAUGCAAAAACCAUCAACAAUUUAUGCCACCAUUCUCCUGAGAGGAGCCAAUUCAACUGUAAUGGAAAAAUUUUGCCUUGUGCUGUUUCUUAUCCAACACACUCGUCAUGUGCUGGUUAGGUGCAAUACUGAACAUUCUUACACAAACAAAUAAUCUCUUGUGCCCUGACGUACAUCAAGUCUAAACAUCUGAUGCUCCAUUUGACUGACUAAUAAUUUCUGAUAUAUGUUUGUCUUUUACACCCGGACUCUGGCUCCAUCCUAUCUGACUCCCCACCAGACCCAAGGCUGUUAAAGCAAAUGCAUCUUGUCUUGGAAGCUCGGUGUUCCUUCCUUUGGAUAACAAGACAUGACGAUGCAGAAGUGAGAAAGCAAACAUUCUCACUCACAGCGAGAUAAGCUGGCGCAAACAAUUCCAUUGCUGCAGAGAGACAUUCCACCAGAGCCAGAGAAAGGGGUUAAAAGGCAGAAGCAACUUGAGGAUCGUGGGCUCUUUGCAUCACACCUUCGUGGUGUGUGCACUGAUCUCCCCAGCUGGUUUUUGGUUUGUUGAUGUGCACGAUCAACAUCCAUGCUUUUUAUUUGCUUUCCCCAUUAUUUUUAUUUUCUUUAUUAUUUCAAUAAAUCGCACAAAAGGACAACUCUCUCUCAUCUACUUCUUUAUGGAAAAUUUCCACCACAGAAAUUGGCGUCUACGAACAGGAUCCCGCGGCAGGUCGUCUGGACGGUGUGACCAGGGACGAUAGUCCUGAGGACUAGGGUCGCUCAGCCUCCAAACCUCUACAGACAUUCAGAGCUGGGAGGACUGCUCACCCGUCUGGAUCGCCUCUGACGAGAUCCACGAACUCAGAUUGAAACUCAAAUCCUAAUUUGGCUCGGCUCGGUGAGAGAGAUUCCUUUUAAUUUGGGAAAAAACAAAAAGAAAAUAUAACUAGGACUAGAGAUGAUAAUAUUUCUAAAACGACUAUGUGGCUGAAAAACAUCUAAAAUAUAAUAAUUAGGACCAAACAAUUUUUUUUUAAUUAAAAAAUUUAAUAUUCGGGUAAAAUGAAUUAGGUCAAAGUCUGCCCUGGUGGUCGAGACGGUGGUUGCUAAGGGUUGGCUCGUGGGACCGAGCUUGUUUCGUCUGUACUGAGGAUACAGACCAGUGUGCAGAUCUGAGCGCAGUCCAAAGGGUGUGGACAAGGAAAUAAAAGACGGCUUCUGAAAUACGGAGCGCGUUUGCAGGGGGAAGUGGUUUUGAGAUACGAGGGACCCGGGUCUUAGAGGGGCCACUUCCGAGAACCCUGUCGCUGAUCUGAGCGGUUCCCUUUCUACGGAGACGUCCGUGGAAGAGAAAUUUCGAAAAAAGGUUCCGGCCGGAACACAUAAAAAUCUAAGGCAGGAAACCGCCGGGACUCUGAAAGAUGGGUUCGGGGCGAUCUAAGUCUCCACCACCAGACUGCAGCAUUAGAAAAGUAAAAGUAAUUAAAAGUAAAAGGUAAAUAUGGUUAUUAGUGUGUUUCAUGUUUCCAUGAGUGGGAAACUGGUUAUAGGUUCAAAAGGAGAAUUACGUAGUGUAAAAGACAUAUGCACCUUUAAAAGAUUUGAAAGAGCAAAACAUCAAAACUAAAGCCCUAAAAGAAACAAAAGAGUGAUGAGAGUAACAGAAAAAAAAAAAAAAAAGGAGAUAACAACUCUGGGGAAGAAUUGUUUGCACUCUGCCACACCACACGCACACCACACACACAUCAUGUCAAGAUCAAAUGCUCCCACUGUUUCUGCUCUCUAUUCUAAUGCAGAACCGAGCGCGAUGAGGGUAAAUCCGGAUCUGGACUCCUUUCCCACCAUCAGCAGAAGAACCGAAGGAGAAGAAGCGCCGACCAACAACCAGAACGGGGUGGAAGCUCUGACACCACAGCAGCUGGAGGACACAGACCACAGCAUGGACGCCUCACAGACUCCCACAACGUCUGCAGCCAUCACGUUCUGGGCUCAUCAGAUGAACCAGCUACUACAAGCGUGUGUGUCUGACACAGACACCUGCUUAUGACAAUCAGCAAAGGAAAACAAGGACAGAGCAACAGCAGAGAAGACGUGCUCUGACACAGACACUGGUUGAAACAACAGGAGAGGCUUCAGACGUGAUCGGCCCAAAAGAGCUGCAUGCGAGAAUCCAGGAAAGGUCUGUCAUCGAGGAACAACUGUCCCAUCUACGUCAGGCUUCACCCGCUGGCGCUCACAUCAGACUGAUGGUUGGGGAAGGAGGAAGGUGACGGUUCCUUUUCACGUGACGUACAAGACGUUCCACACGUCCCUCUGUGAAAACAUGAUGGAGACAGAUGACAGGACGUGGGUCCUUUCGUGAACAGAUGCCAACGGGGUGGAGACUGGUGAACGACUUCUGACCCCAUGUGACGUAUUCACCUACUUUGCAUACUUUAAAAAAAAAACAAACUUUUUUUUUAUUCUGCCUGUCAUGCACAACAAACAGUGAACCUCCACAUUCUAAUGACACACUACAUGUUUUUAUUUUCAUUUUUCAGAGGACGCUCUGACCCAACACUCAGCCUUACAGGAAGCCCUGCUUCCCUGUGGCUCACACACAGACAUGAUGUAGGUUUGAUCAGAGGAUGUGAACCAGUGGUCAUCGCACCUAAAUCUGACCACAGACCAUGUAAACAACAUCACCCUCUUAAAGGAAGCCAUAGAUGGCGUUACUGCAGACACCACUAAGCUACUGAAUCAUUGGAUGCUACAGGCCACAAAGAGAGCCUGUCUAAAUUACAGUUUGUUCAGACAAAGGUUAUUUUCUGGGUCAUUGUAAUUACAGCUGAUGGCAAAUCCAUCUCACCCAACAGAGUUGAAGCAAUUUGAAACCUGCCUAAACCGUGCACGUAUAAACAGCUGAUGUCUUUUCUAGGUUUUUGUUCUUAUUGUAGGACUUUCGUUCCUAACUUAAAUGUCUUUGAGGCCCCAUUCAGGGUUCUGAUGCAGACGUCUUCAUCGUCCACUUCUUGUCUCACGUGGACGUCUGAGGCUGAACAACGUUCACUGACCUCAUGCUUGCUCUUCAGGCUCCUACUUUGGGUCUUCCUGAUCUGACCCUAUGCGACCUUUCACUCAAACAGUGGAUGAGAGAUCAGGUUGUACGACUUCUGUUCUUUUGUCCUCAUACUUUGAUUCUUUUGGAAUAGAUCACAUCUUUCUACAGCCCGAUGGCUUAGAUGCAACACCACCUUACUCAACAUGCUGAACAUUAUUAUCAAGAGGUCGUCUUGAAGUCUGGCUCUUUGCUAAGACACUACUCUGCUCAGGCUGCAGAGUUGAUCGCGUUGACUGAAGCUAGUAAACUAGCAGAAGGAGAGACUGUUACCAUCUACAGACUCCACAGAUGCUUGUCACACGUUGGUUCUCUGUGGAAGCAUGGGAAGCUUUGAAGUCUGAUUGCAAACCUAUCUUACAUCAUGAUAAGGUUCUGCUUUGCUGGACGCUGUCCUGCUACAGUACCUACAGCUAAUGCUGUUUGUAACUGUCCCACUCACAACAUCAGUGACGACUUUGUUUCUGCCGACAUGCAGCUGCAGACGCUGCUGCGAAGGUCGCUGCCCAACAACCCCUCCCUCUCCUGAUCCUCGUUUCCUCUCCUCAUCCUUGUUUCCUCUCUCCAACUCUCUCUAUCCUUUCCUUCCUAUCUCCCUGUGCUUUAAACAUUUUCUACCUCACAGGAACGCAGACUCUGGCUGACGCAUGGUUCCACCUGUAGCCAUGGAGUCUGGUUUGGGCCUGAUGACACGCCGUGCCGCCCAAACACCUUUUCCCCAUAAUUCAGAUUUCCCAACAGGUGAAAGCAGGCGACAGGACCAUUACACCAUCCAACCAGGGCACUGGGUGAUCGUUGAGGAGUUCAGGAGGAAGCACUGGGACUCCAAACGGUGGCGAGGUCCCUUCCAGGUCCUUCUGACGACCCACACGGCUGUAAAGAUCGCAGAGAGAGCGACUUGGAUCCACUCCAUCCAGGAAGGUCCCGGAUCCAACAGACGACCCUCCAUCUCCAUCUACACCACACGAGAAAACCACCACUGACGAAAAGAAUUAAGAAGAACGACCCUCGCUGUGCUCACACACGCACUGAGGCGAGGCUGCGUUGACCGUUCAGCUAAAGGUGUGAGCCAAGCGCCGCCUGAAGCUGCGCCGAUGAAUCACACUAUCAGACCAUACAUCUACACACACGUUCCUGAGAAAACACACACACGAGCAGCCUUGAGUUGCCGACGCUGGACGACGUGUAGACUCUUCACAUCACGGGAGUGACAGUGACUCAGACGACAUUGGGAGGAAACCUGGCGGUGAUAACAAAUCCCAAGUGUCUCUGUGAUCAGCUGAUCACAACCUGAAGAACCCCAACGAACAAUCAAUACUUCAACACACAGGUUGGAAACAAUCUAACGCUACUGUUCAACAGGACGAAGCAGAUUGUUACAAGACAUCAAUUGUAACCUCGUUGCGUUAGACAUUUUAUGUUACUCUGAUUAUUGCCUUGAUCAUAUGAUGUUUUCAUGUAACUUUGCACACUACUUUUGAAUGAGAAAAUUUCACAUAAUUCACAACACUGAGUUUAAAUAUCCUAAAGUUGACUUGGUGUUUAAUUUGCUCACAAUCACUUUAUUCACUGCUACAAUUAGUUUUAUCCUUCAUCUACAGAUGAAAGACAACACAAGCGGAAAAACGCAUCAUCAUUCUGGUUAAAUCCCUGAAUCUCGUAUUCGCUCUAGGCCCAAAUGUACAAUUAAAGAUCCGAAAGCAUGAAAUCUAUCUGAAGAUUAUAUGAUACAGAACCCCACCGGAAACCUAUGGCUAUCAUACAAUAAUUGUCUUUAUUACAUUACAAUUGAAUGGCCGUAGACACGUUGUUAGCAGAGGAAAGAGACGUUUGUGUUAUGUUUGGAGAGGCAUGUUGUACUUACAUCCUGAAUAACACUGAUUCUAAUGGUAUUGUGGCGAAGGCGCUCCACGGCCUUCAGAAUCUCAGCUAACUCUGGUAUAGGUUCUACCCCUUGGAAUUGGCUAGACGAAAUGUCUGGAAAAUGGAAAUCUGUCCUCAUGUCCACAGCUGUUUCCUUUAUAAUUGAGAUGGCUGUGAUUCUCUUGUUUGGUUUUUGCGUUAUCCCACUGGUUAAAGGUCUCAUCAUGCGUGCGACCUCAGCAACACUCUCGUAUCAAAUGACACAAUGAACUAUGUUCAAAAACCCCAACUCUAAUUCACGUAAUGACUUUGACGAUGGCUAUCUGAUCACAAAAUAUAAUCUGGUACAAAUAUGA